GCUUGCUUGGUGGGGUAGGAGUAGUUGAAGUCGCUGUUGGAACUGUAGCUGCUGCUGUCUUCAUCCGGGGAAAUACUGAAUCGUCCCAUUUCGGCCUUCUUCAUGCUAAGCACUGGGAGGAAUCGGGUGCAGCUAGUAGCGCUGGGCUCCUUUUGUCCUUGGCGGUGGGUGCAGCGGCCCGCGAGUCGGCCUGCGAAAGUAGAGGCGGCGCGUCAGGACCGCAGCGCCAGCCCGCCGCGGUCACGUGACGCCGCCCGGAGGCGCAGCGCGGCUGAUUCAUCCCAGGCCAGGCGAGUGGAAAAGUACCAGCCGCGCGCGAGGGGCGGGGGCGCGCCGAGGGGCGGAAAAGUACAGACGGCGGAGCCGCGGGGAGAACAAAGAUGAUGCCACCGCUGUGUUGCGGCCGUCGAGGCCCCCUACUCCGGCAGAUUUCAGUAUUUCACCCUCUCUAUUGUCCCUCGUCGGAGUGGAGGGGGCGAGGGGGGGUUCUGUUUUGCUUUUUCCCAGUCGCUCCAAACUUGCACAGGCACUCAGGGCACACAUCCAGCCCCGACCCUGGCUCGUGUGCAUGCAACCUAGGCGCACGGCUUUCCGUUUCUAGCAUUUGGAACAGCAAUGCUGCGUAAUCUGUCCUUUACUGCCCGGAGUCCCCACACGGAGAAAUGCCUCUGCCGCAGACAGCCUUCCCCAGGAGGCGGAAAGGGCCGACACUACUCCUCUCUCGAGGGGGGCGAACGCCCGGGCCCCGGGAGCUGGGGGUUUGUUUACACACGCGCGCCAGUGCCCUCAAGCACACCCGUCCACAGGCAGCUGGCCCGCGAGUGCUACGCCCGCCCAGCCCCUCCUAUGUCCGGAAAGAAAACUGAUGCAAUAUCGAUCGUCGAUUGUCAAAUGUUCCCAACUCGUCUUCCCCAAUCUUGGCCUCUCCUGUAAUACAUGCCCAAGCCCACCUCCGCCGCCCCCAGAUUCCUGGCUCCCUGGACUUAAUUUUUUUUUUUUAUUAAAUGCAAAUCAGUCACAAGACUUGCCGCAGCAGAGCCGCUGGCCGGGCUAGCUCCCCUCCCCCUAAUGGGAAGAUGCGGCUCCGCACCGUGCAGGCACGCGGCCCCCGCCCAGCGCCCGCUCUCCUACCCACGUCGCGGGCGCGACACCCGCGCGGCGGGCCAGGGUGGAAGGCUGGCCAGCCCAACCGACAACGCCCGCCUCGAAAGGAAACGGACCCCGCGGCCGCCUUCCCGCGCGGCCCCUCCCGGAAGCCCCUCCCCCACUCUCGCCCGGGCCCCGCGCCCUUCCCACAGACGCCCCCCCGCACGCGUUAC
rnacentral:lncRNA from 1 species